rnacentral:SRP_RNA from 1 species
CCGUGCUAGAUGGGGAACUAGCGGUGCCCUGUACCCGAGAUCCGCUAUAGCGGGGUUGAAUUCCGGCUCGAGGUUUUUGCUUUUUAGGACUGCUCUGGUGAAGUGGCGUUGAGGGCUGGGUCUUGCGCAGCGGGGGGCUAUGAAGCCCGUCAGGUCUGGAAGGAAGCAGCGGUAAAUAGCAUUCUCCGGGUGCCGCAAGGUUACCUGGUCGGAGUUGGCUGAUUGGAGUAAUCUAGAAGGUGAGGUCGACAGCCGGUGCACGG